UGGGGAAUAUUGCACAAUGGGGGAAACCCUGAUGCAGCGACGCCGCGUGAGUGAAGAAGUAUCUCGGUACGUAAAGCUCUAUCAGCAGGGAAGAAAAUGACGGUACCUGACUAAGAAGCCCCGGCUAACUACGUGCCAGCAGCCGCGGUAAUACGUAGGGGGCAAGCGUUAUCCGGAUUUACUGGGUGUAAAGGGAGCGUAGACGGCAGCGCAAGUCUGGAGUGAAAUGCCGGGGCCCAACCCCGGAACUGCUUUGGAAACUGUGCAGCUCGAGUGCAGGAGAGGUAAGCGGAAUUCCUAGUGUAGCGGUGAAAUGCGUAGAUAUUAGGAGGAACACCAGUGGCGAAGGCGGCUUACUGGACUGUAACUGACGUUGAGGCUCGAAAGCGUGGGGAGCAAACAGG
rnacentral:rRNA from 1 species